CCGCAGCCUCGCCUGUUUAACAAAAACAUGUUCUUUUGUUUUAAAUAAAAGAUUUAACCUGCUCUAUGAUUAUUAAAUGGCUGCAGUAUUUUGACUGUACAAAGGUAGCAUAAUAAUUUGUCUUUUAAUUGAAGACUGGUAUGAAUGGUUGGAUGAGAAAUAUACUUUCUUUAUUUUAUAUAAAAAAAUUGAUUUUUUAGUUAAAAAGCUAAAAUAUUUUUAUAGGACGAGAAGACCCUAUAGAACUUUACUUUGAUAUAAAUAUACUAUUUAUAUAUUUUUAAAAUUUUAUAUUUUUAUUAAAGUUUUGUUGGGGUGACAAAAAAAAUUAUAUAACUUUUUUUUAUUAAAUCAUUAAUUUAUGUUUUUUGAUCCUUUAUUAUGGAAAAUAAGAUUAAGUUACCUUAGGGAUAACAGCGUUAUUUUUUUGGAGAGUUCAUAUUGAUAAAGAAGUUUGCGACCUCGAUGUUGGAUUAAAAUAAGUUACAGGGGUAUAAUAUUGUAUACUAGGUCUGUUCGACCUUUAAAUUUUUACAUGAUCUAGUUUCCAACCGGGAGGG
rnacentral:rRNA from 1 species